rnacentral:rRNA from 1 species
AACGAACGCUGGCGGCAGGCUUAACACAUGCAAGUCGAACGCCCCGCAAGGGGAGUGGCAGACGGGUGAGUAACGCGUGGGAAUCUACCCAGAUCUUCGGAACAACUGAGGGAAACUUCAGCUAAAUACCGGAUACGCCCUACGGGGGAAAGAUUUAUCGGUUCUGGAUGAGCCCGCGUUGGAUUAGCUAGUUGGUGAGGUAAUGGCUCACCAAGGCGACGAUCCAUAGCUGGUCUGAGAGGAUGAUCAGCCACACUGGGACUGAGACACGGCCCAGACUCCUACGGGAGGCAGCAGUGGGGAAUAUUGGACAAUAGGGCGAAAGCCUGAUCCAGCCAUGCCGCGUGAGUGAUGAAGGCCUUAGGGUUGUAAAGCUCUUUCAGUAGGGAAGAUAAUGACGGUACCUACAGAAGAAGCCCCGGCUAACUUCGUG